GCGGCGUUAGCUCAGUUGGUAGAGCAGAAGUUUUCCAAACUUCAGGUCGCAGGUUCGAACCCUGUACGCCGCU
rnacentral:tRNA from 1 species